GAUGAACGCUGGCGGCGUGCCUAAUACAUGCAAGUCGAGCGAACAGACGAGGAUCUUGCCCCUCUGACGUUAGCGGCGGACGGGCGAGUAACACGUGGAUAACCUACCUAUAAGACUGGGAUAACUUCGGGAAACCGGAGCCAAUACCGGAUAAUAUAUUGAACCGCAUGGUUCAAUAGUGAAAGACGGAUUUGCUGUCACUAAUAGAUGGAACCAGGCCGCAUUAGCUAGUUGGUAAGGUAACGGCUUACCAAGGCGACGAUGCGUAGCCGACCUGAGAGGAUGAUCGGCCACACUGGAACUGAGACACGGUCCAGACUCCUACGGGAGGCAGCAGUAGGGAAUCUUCCGCAAAGGGCGAAAGCCUGACGGAGCAACGCCGCGUGAGUGAAGAAGGUCUUCGGAUCGUAAAACUCUGUUAUUAGGGAAGAACAAAUGUGUAAGUAACUAUGCACGUCUUGACGGUACCUAAACAGAAAGCCACGGCUAACUACGUG
rnacentral:rRNA from 1 species